rnacentral:misc_RNA from 1 species
AAGUCGUAACAAGGUUUCCGUAGGUGAACCUGCGGAAGGAUCAUUAACAAACAACAAACAUUGGCUGGGCGUGUUUUGUUUUGCUUUUUCUUUUAUUUUAGCAAUAAAGCAAAAGUAGUAGAGUAAAGCAAGGUGCGCGCUGUGCCAUCAACCUUUGUGAAUCGGGCGCAUGGUCGGCAGCAGUUCAGCAAUGAGCUAUUGCUGCCUUGCGCUUAGUCGGGAGUGGAAUGGAAUGGAAUGGAAGAGAAAAGAAUGUAAUGUAAUGUAUUUUAUUAUAUAAUAUAAUGCAAUUCAUUCUACUUUAUUCUAUUUUAUUUUAUUAUUUAUUCAAGUCUGAAUUCUUUGUCGAAAGACUAAGCAACAAUACAAUGCAAUACAACUUUUAACAAUGGAUCUCUAGGCUCUU